rnacentral:rRNA from 6 species
UUAAAUUGAAGAGUUUGAUCAUGGCUCAGAUUGAACGCUGGCGGCAGGCCUAACACAUGCAAGUCGAACGGUAACAGGAAGCAGCUUGCUGCUUCGCUGACGAGUGGCGGACGGGUGAGUAAUGUCUGG